GGUCAGGAUGAACGCUAGCGACAGGCUUAACACAUGCAAGUCGAGGGGCAGCAUAAAAGUAGCAAUACUUGGUGGCGACCGGCGCACGGGUGAGUAACGCGUAUGCAACCUACCUAUCAGGAGGGGAAUAACCCGGCGAAAGUCGGACUAAUACCGCAUAAAACAGGGACACCGCAUGGUGAUAUUUGUUAAAGAAAUUCGCUGAUAGAUGGGCAUGCGUUCCAUUAGGUAGUUGGUGAGGUAACGGCUCACCAAGUCGACGAUGGAUAGGGGAACUGAGAGGUUGGUCCCCCACACUGGUACUGAGACACGGACCAGACUCCUACGGGAGGCAGCAGUGAGGAAUAUUGGUCAAUGGGCGAGAGCCUGAACCAGCCAAGUCGCGUGAAGGAAGAAAGGAUCUAUGGUUCGUAAACUUCUUUUGCAGGGGAAUGAAGUGCAGGACGUGUCCUGUUUUGUAUGUACCCUGAGAAUAAGGAUCGGCUAACUCCGUGCCAGCAGCAGC
rnacentral:rRNA from 1 species